rnacentral:lncRNA from 1 species
AAUUGAUGCAGAUCCCUACCUUCAAGGCCAUGUUCCCAGGCAAUUCGCAUGGAGAACAAGUAGGAGUGGAGGACAACAACAAUGGCAGCAACAACAAAGAGAACCAGAUUGUACCUCCAUUGACGGAAAGUCAAUCGGUUCCAGUAAUCAACUUGGAGCUCCAGAACAGUGGUGACGGGCCACAACCUAGGUUGGAAGCAAGCCAACCUCAAACGAACAUCAUCCCAUCAUUUUCACAGGUGCAAAUGCCAAACAUUCCAAGCAAUGUCCAGCGAGUGAGCCAACAACUUCCACCAGUGCCUUGUUGUGCAUGAUGCAAGCGUGCAUCAACCAACCUCUCUACCAUACACAUUUCCGAUGCAGCAGUAUAUCACAACACCCCAGAGAGUUCACGCCACAAGCCAGUACGUGACGAAGGAUGAUAUGACCGACUUGAUCAAUCAACUUCACAGACAGACAUCUCGACCCUCGGAGUUAGACUUUACUCCUCCUUACCCUGCACACAUUCGGAGGCAACCUUACCCAACAGGGUAUAUUGAGCACCCACCGCAGUUUCCAAAAUACAAUGGGGAGAAAGGAAAUGCCAGAGAACACGUUGCCAGGUUCGUAGAGUCGAUGUCUCCAUGGCUAGGAUAUGAUGAAGUAAAC